rnacentral:rRNA from 1 species
AUUGAACGCUGGCGGCAGGCCUAACACAUGCAAGUCGGACGGUAGCACAGAGGAGCUUGCUCCUCGGGUGACGAGUGGCGGACGGGUGAGUAAUGUCUGGGGAUCUGCCCGAUAGAGGGGGAUAACCACUGGAAACGGUGGCUAAUACCGCAUAACGUCGCAAGACCAAAGAGGGGGACCUUCGGGCCUCUCACUAUCGGAUGAACCCAGAUGGGAUUAGCUAGUAGGCGGGGUAAUGGCCCACCUAGGCGACGAUCCCUAGCUGGUCUGAGAGGAUGACCAGCCACACGGGAACGGAGACACGGUCCAGACUCCUACGGGAGGCAGCAGUGGGGAAUAUUGCACAAUGGGCGCAAGCCUGAUGCAGCCAUGCCGCGUGUAUGAAGAAGGCCUUCGGGUUGUAAAGUACUUUCAGCGGGGAGGAAGGCGGUGCGGUUAAUAACCGCGCCGAUUGACGUUACCCGCAGAAGAAGCACCGGCUAACUCCGUGCCAGCCGCCGCGGUAACAC